GACGAACGCUGGCGGCGUGCUUAACACAUGCAAGUCGAACGGAAAGGCCCUGCUUUUGUGGGGUGCUCGAGUGGCGAACGGGUGAGUAACACGUGAGUAACCUGCCCUUGACUUUGGGAUAACUUCAGGAAACUGGGGCUAAUACCGGAUAGGAGCUCCUGCUGCAUGGUGGGGGUUGGAAAGUUUCGGCGGUUGGGGAUGGACUCGCGGCUUAUCAGCUUGUUGGUGGGGUAGUGGCUUACCAAGGCUUUGACGGGUAGCCGGCCUGAGAGGGUGACCGGCCACAUUGGGACUGAGAUACGGCCCAGACUCCUACGGGAGGCAGCAGUGGGGAAUAUUGCACAAUGGGCGGAAGCCUGAUGCAGCAACGCCGCGUGCGGGAUGACGGCCUUCGGGUUGUAAACCGCUUUCGCCUGUGACGAAGCGUGAGUGACGGUAAUGGGUAAAGAAGCACCGGCUAACUACGUGCCAGCAGCCGCGGUGAUACGUAGGGUGCGAGCGUUGUCCGGAUUUAUUGGGCGUAAAGGGCUCGUAGGUGGUUGAUCGCGUCGGAAGUGUAAUCUUGGGGCUUAACCCUGAGCGUGCUUUCGAUACGGGUUGACUUGAGGAAGGUAGGGGAGAAUGGAAUUCCUGGUGGAGCGGUGGAAUGCGCAGAUAUCAGGAGGAACACCAGUGGCGAAGGCGGUUCUCUGGGCCUUUCCUGACGCUGAGGAGCGAAAGCGUGGGGAGCGAACAGGCUUAGAUACCCUGGUAGUCCACGCUGUAAACGGUGGGUACUAGGUGUGGGGUCCGUUCCACGGGUUCCGUGCCGUAGCUAACGCUUUAAGUACCCCGCCUGGGGAGUACGGCCGCAAGGCUAAAACUCAAAGGAAUUGACGGGGCCCCGCACAAGCGGCGGAGCAUGCGGAUUAAUUCGAUGCAACGCGUAGAACCUUACCUGGGUUUGACAUGGAUCGGGAGUGCUCAGAGAUGGGUGUGCCUCUUUUGGGGUCGGUUCACAGGUGGUGCAUGCCUGUCGUCAGCUCGUGUCGUGAGAUGUUGGGUUAAGUCCCGCAACGAGCGCAACCCUUGUUCACUGUUGCCAGCACGUUAUGGUGGGGACUCAGUGGAGACCGCCGGGGUCAACUCGGAGGAAGGUGGGGAUGACGUCAAGUCAUCAUGCCCCUUAUGUCCAGGGCUUCACGCAUGCUACAAUGGCUGGUACAGAGAGUGGCGAGCCUGUGAGGGUGAGCGAAUCUCGGAAAGCCGGUCUCAGUUCGGAUUGGGGUCUGCAACUCGACCUCAUGAAGUCGGAGUCGCUAGUAAUCGCAGAUCAGCAACGCUGCGGUGAAUACGUUCCCGGG
rnacentral:rRNA from 1 species